AGAACCGUCCAAAACCGGCCAGAAUCGGUCAAAAACCGGCCGGAGAACCUGCUGGAACUAUCGAUUUUAGAAUCAUUAAGGAAUCAAAACCAAAACCGAAACCGUUCGGUUUUAAACCGUAACCGAAACCGUUCGGUUUUAAACCGUAACCGAAACCGUUAAUUUUCAGUUCAGUUCCGGAACCGUGACCACCCCUAAUCA
rnacentral:lncRNA from 1 species